rnacentral:rRNA from 1 species
UGGGGAAUAUUGCACAAUGGGCGCAAGCCUGAUGCAGCCAUGCCGCGUGUGUGAAGAAGGCCUUCGGGUUGUAAAGCACUUUCAGCGGGGAGGAAGGCGAUAAGGUUAAUAACCUUGUCGAUUGACGUUACCCGCAGAAGAAGCACCGGCUAACUCCGUGCCAGCAGCCGCGGUAAUACGGAGGGUGCAAGCGUUAAUCGGAAUUACUGGGCGUAAAGCGCACGCAGGCGGUCUGUCAAGUCUGAUGUGAAAUCCCCGGGCUCAACCUGGGAACUGCAUUCGAAACUGGCAGGCUAGAGUCUUGUAGAGGGGGGUAGAAUUCCAGGUGUAGCGGUGAAAUGCGUAGAGAUCUGGAGGAAUACCGGUGGCGAAGGCGGCCCCCUGGACAAAGACUGACGCUCAGGUGCGAAAGCGUGGGGAGCAAACAGG